rnacentral:rRNA from 1 species
AAAGCGUGCGCGGGCGGUUAUGUAAGACAGAUGUGAAAUCCCCGGGCUCAACCUGGGAACUGCAUUUGUGACUGCAUGGCUAGAGUACGGUAGAGGGGGAUGGAAUUCCGCGUGUAGCAGUGAAAUGCGUAGAUAUGCGGAGGAACACCGAUGGCGAAGGCAAUCCCCUGGACCUGUACUGACGCUCAUGCACGAAAGCGUGGGGAGCAAACAGGAUUAGAUACCCUAGU